rnacentral:rRNA from 1 species
UCUGGUAGGAAUAGCAAGGAGGCAACACCCGUUCCCAUACCGAACACGGAAGUUAAGCUCCUUAGCGCCGAUGAUACUAGGAUGGAGACGUCCUGGGAAAGUAGGUCCCUGCCAGAA